UGGCCUGGCGGCAGCUAUACAUGCAAGUCGAACGAACUUCCGUUAAUUGAUUAUGACGUGCUUGCACUGAAUGAGAUUUUAACACGAAGUGAGUGGCGGACGGGUGAGUAACACGUGGGUAACCUGCCCAGAAGCAGGGGAUAACACCUGGAAACAGAUGCUAAUACCGUAUAACAGAGAAAACCGCCUGGUUUUCUUUUAAAAGAUGGCUCUGCUAUCACUUCUGGAUGGACCCGCGGCGCAUUAGCUAGUUGGUGAGGUAACGGCUCACCAAGGCGAUGAUGCGUAGCCGACCUGAGAGGGUAAUCGGCCACAUUGGGACUGAGACACGGCCCAGACUCCUACGGGAGGCAGCAGUAGGGAAUCUUCCACAAUGGACGCAAGUCUGAUGGAGCAACGCCGCGUGAGUGAAGAAGGGUUUCGGCUCGUAAAGCUCUGUUGUUAAAGAAGAACGUGGGUGAGAGUAACUGUUCACCCAGUGACGGUAUUUAACCAGAAAGCCACGGCUAACUACGUGCCAGCAGCCGCGGUAAUACGUAGGUGGCAAGCGUUAUCCGGAUUUAUUGGGCGUAAAGCGAGCGCAGGCGGUCUUUUAAGUCUAAUGUGAAAGCCUUCGGCUCAACCGAAGAAGUGCAUUGGAAACUGGGAGACUUGAGUGCAGAAGAGGACAGUGGAACUCCAUGUGUAGCGGUGAAAUGCGUAGAUAUAUGGAAGAACACCAGUGGCGAAGGCGGCUGUCUGGUCUGUAACUGACGCUGAGGCUCGAAAGCAUGGGUAGCGAACAGGAUUAGAUACCCUGGUAGUCCAUGCCGUAAACGAUGAUUACUAAGUGUUGGAGGGUUUCCGCCCUUCAGUGCUGCAGCUAACGCAUUAAGUAAUCCGCCUGGGGAGUACGACCGCAAGGUUGAAACUCAAAAGAAUUUGACGGGGGCCCGCACAAGCGGUGGAGCAUGUGGUUUAAUUUCGAAGCUACGCGAAGAACCUUACCAGGUCUUGACAUCUUCUGCCAACCUAAGAGAUUAGGCGUUCCCUUCGGGGACAGAAUGACAGGUGGUGCAUGGUUGUCGUCAGCUCGUGUCGUGAGAUGUUGGGUUAGUCCCGCACGAGCGCAACCCGUAAUAACUAGCUGCAGCAUUCAGCUGGCACUCUAGUGAGACUGUGGUGACGACCGAGGAAGUGGGACGACGUUCAAUUCAUCAUGGCGCCUAUAAUGUGC
rnacentral:rRNA from 1 species